rnacentral:rRNA from 1 species
AAACACGGACCAAGGAGUCUAGCAUGUGCGCGAGUCAUUGGGACACGACUAAACCUAAAGGCGUAAUGAAAGUGAAAGUCCGCCUCGCGCGGACCGAGGGAAGAUGGGCGUCGGUCUCGUUAACGAUGCCGCGCCUCGCAUUCCCGGGGCGUCUCGUUCUCAUUACGAGGAGAGGCGCACCAAGAGCGUACACGCUGGGACCCGAAAGAUGGUGAACUAUGCCUGGUCAGGACGAAGUCAGGGGAAACCCUGAUGGAGGUCCGUAGCGAUUCUGACGUGCAAAUCGAUCGUCGGAACUGGGUAUAGGGGCGAAAGACUAAUCGAACCAUCUAGUAGCUGGUUCCCUCCGAAGUUUCCCUCAGGAUAGCUGGCGCUCGUAGCGCGCGAGUCUCAUCCGGUAAAGCGAAUGAUUAGAGGCAUUGGGGCCGAAACGGCCUCAACCUAUUCUCAAACUUUAAAUGGGUGAGAUCUCCGGCUUGCUCGAACCGAUGAAGCCGCGAGAUACGGAUCAGAGUGCCAAGUGGGCCAUUUUUGGUAAGCAGAACUGGCGCUGUGGGAUGAACCAAACGUCGAGUUAAAGCGCCCAAAUCGACGCUUAUGGGACACCAUGAAAGGCGUUGGUAACUUAAGACAGCAGGACGGUGGCCAUGGAAGUCGGAAUCCG